AUCGCUUCUCGGCCUUUUGGCUAAGAUCAAGUGUAGAAAUUUCUCUUGACAAUUUAUGUUGACAACAAAAGAAUUUAAAAUGUUUCUCAUGUUAAAGAGGACAAGUAUUU
rnacentral:snRNA from 1 species